rnacentral:rRNA from 1 species
CAUGCCUACCGCAUAGCGUUAAUGCAUCAGAUCCCAUUAGAACUCCACAGUUAAGUGUACUCAAGCUAGAGUAUCACUGGGAUGGGUGACCACCCAGGAAGUCCUAGUGGUUUACAUGC